rnacentral:rRNA from 1 species
UACGUAGGGGGCAAGCGUUGUCCGGAAUCAUUGGGCGUAAAGCGCGUGUAGGCGGCCCGGUAAGUCCGCUGUGAAAGUCCGGGGCUCAACCCUGGGAUGCCGGUGGAUACUGUCGGGCUCGAGUCCGGAAGAGGAGUGUGGAAUUCCUGGUGUAGCGGUGAAAUGCGCAGAUAUCAGGAGGAACACCAAUGGCGAAGGCAGCACUCUGGGACGUGACUGACGCUGAGACGCGAAAGCGUGGGGAGCAAACAGG